AUCUGGGCGGCGGAAUUCAGGGUUGACCGGCGUUUACGCGUCGGGCAGUUUGAUAUUUCCGUCGCCGCGCAGACGUCGCGACCUGUUUGGUGUCGGUCCCUGCUCGGAGGAACCGCGAACGAGUUUGCUGCGGGGCGCGUUUCGGCGUGCCUUCGUGGCGAAGUCGCGGACUUCUGGCCGACUCGCCGAACAGUAAGCGGAACGGUGACCGGCGUUGUUGCCUUUGGUAUACGCGGCGUCGGUACCGGUCGGCGACGAUUUCUUCGGGCCUCUUUC
rnacentral:rRNA from 1 species